UACGAAGGGGCUAGCGUUGUUCGGAAUUACUGGGCGUAAAGCGCACGUAGGCGGAUAUUUAAGUCAGGGGUGAAAUCCCGCAGCUCAACUGCGGAACUGCCUUUGAUACUGGGUAUCUUGAGUAUGGAAGAGGUUAGUGGAAUUGCGAGUGUAGAGGUGAAAUUCGUAGAUAUUCGCAGGAACACCAGUGGCGAAGGCGGCUAACUGGUCCAUAACUGACGCUGAGGUGCGAAAGCGUGGGGAGCAAACAGGG
rnacentral:rRNA from 1 species